AUUCGCGCGAAGAUACGUGGUUUGACAGACCUUUCUUUCUGACUGAAACGGUAAACUAUUGUGACCAUGUUUAAUCUGGAAGUGAACUUCUCUGGGUCUCUGCUCACACCGAAGAGCCUACUCAUUUUCCUUUAGGCUGCUUGAUCGACGGCGAUGGUUACGGGACAAUCUUUCGGCCACAGAGAACACGUGAUUGGACCUGCCUAACCUUUUCAAAGAGACAUUUAAUCAAAGACCCGUCCUACCCUUCUACCCCUUCCCCUUACAGUGUUAUUGAAGCUGACGCGUGCAGACGGGAGGGGUGCAAACGGCAGAGCCGCUGAAAUAAAACAAGUGUCUCGCCUAUAAAUACCGGUAGAACAUUUCUACUCCAUCUUCACCCUCUCUGUCUGGUCCCUUUAGCGAAGAGGACCAACAGAGCGCAGGACUGGAAUUAAUUAGCCAUCGGAAAGCUAGGAAAGGAAAUUAAAAUCUAACCGAUGCGGAGAGGCUGAUCUCUCCUGACCCUCUGUUAGAAUGACAGUGUUCAGUGGUGCGGAAGCCGCUUCCAUAGAUAGUGUCAAUCAACUGAUGAGGUUGGUUCGUACGUUUAAUGUAAUCAGCAAAUGCCCCUCAACGUUUUCAGAAAUGUGCCUGGAGAUAUUUGAGGGGAUGUAAUAAGCAGGAAAGACAACGAUCUCGGAAGGUGCGCCGUUUUUCAAUUAGCGAAGCAACAGGUGAAGCGAUUUACCUCCAGGGAUUGCGUGAAAAGGAUAGCAUAGAUAGGCUGACAGGGAUCACGCUGCAAAUGAACAAUUAAAACUGUUAAAGCAUCAUCGACAAGGCAACAACAGCAAAAAGAAAAAAGGCGUUGAUGAUAUGAACAUGAAAAUAUAUGAAUCACUGCACGAAUAGUAUACAUGGCCCUAAUGGUGGAUACUUAAAUUUAUCUGUAUACACCAUUCAAUAAUACCGAAUAAGCCACUUAAUGCACAACCAUUUUCGAAGUGCUUUAAUGCGUCACGGAUACUAAAUGCGACGUUAAUAUAACUGCUGCUAUGUUGAUUUCACUACAAUAACAGAGAAGGAUAUGCAGCACGGACGUGUGAUUCCAAACCAGAGUGAUGCAGACCGAAGCCCUGCCUAAGAGAGGAAAGGCAGCUGAAUCACCAGGGAGACGCAAGUUGCUGAAGAGGGGCAGUUACAGCAGCCCAGUGAGAGGCCGGAGGGUGUGAUUUCCUGCCUAAUCAUCAUCACAAGAAGCAAAGAUCGCAGCCCAUCGAGAAACACAAGAGCUGCUCCAAAACUGUGAAGCCCGGCAUUAAGCGUGGCUGAUCUGCCCAGGGCUGCAGAAUCAGCUGGGAGCCGGUGGCUAUAAUGUAAGAUGUGAACAUUAAGUGCUUCCUGCUGAUUUCCUCUCAUAGGAAAGUGGUGCUGUUGUUCCAAUUUCCUCAAGUACUGUGCUUGCGCUUACAGCAUAAUAUAUUGAUCAAUAUAUUGGAUGAUUGAUAUAUGAAAUAAGCAAUAUAUUGGGCCAAUAAUCACAUUUUGAACCAUAUCUAUAUCGGUAAUCAAGGACACUGUGUUAGAUAUAGAGGACUAAUAUUUAUGUAACUGUUUCUGUAAAAUGGUGAAACAUACAGAAUUUAACUACGUUGAAAUAAAUCUAAUUGCCAGU